rnacentral:rRNA from 1 species
UACGUAGGUGGCAAGCGUUGUCCGGAUUUAUUGGGUUUAAAGGGUGCGUAGGCGGCCUAUUAAGUCAGUGCUGAAAUAUCCCGGCUUAACCGGGAGGGUGGCAUUGAUACUGAUGGGCUUGAGUGGAGUCGAGGUAGGCGGAAUUGACGGUGUAGCGGUGAAAUGCGCAGAUAUCAGGAGGAACACCGAUGGCGAAGGCAGGUCUCUGGGCCACUACUGACGCUGAGAAGCGAAAGCAUGGGGAGCGAACAGG